AUGUGGGUUCAAUCCCUGGCCUUGCUCAGUGGGUUAAGGAUCUGGUGUUGCUGUGGUUGCAGUGUAGGCCAGCAGCUGCAGCCUGAUUUGACAGAUUUGACCCCUAGCCUGGGAACUUCCAUAUGCCAUGGGUGCGGCCCUAAAAAAAACCCAAAAAAAGCCAGGACAUGGAAACAACCCAAAUGUCCAUCGACAGAUGAUUGGAUUCGGAAGAUGUGUUAUAUAUACACAAUGGAAUACUACUCAGCCAUAAAAAAGAAUGACAUAAUGCCAUUUGCAGCAACAUAGAUGGAACUAGAGAAUCUCAUACUGAGUGAAAUGAGCCAGAAAGACAAAGACAAAUACCAUAUGAUAUCACUUAUAACUGGAAUCUAAUAUCCAGCACAAAUGAACAUCUCCACAGAAAAGAAAAUCAUGGACUUGGCGAAAAGACUUGUGGCUGCCUGAUGGGAGGGGGAGGGAGUGGGAGGGAUUGGGAGCUUGGGCUUAUCAGACACAACUUAGAAUAGAUUUACAAGGAGAUCCUGCUGAAUAGCAUUGAGAACUUUGUCUAGAUACUCAUGUUGCAACAGAACAAAGGGUGGGGGGAAAAUGUAAUUGUAAUGUAUACAUGUAAGGAUAACCUGACCCCCUUGCUGUACAGUGGGAAAAUUAAAAAAAAUUAUAAAAAAAAACAAAAAAAUCAAAACCUCAGAAUCCACAAAAGUAUAUUCUUUUUUUUUUUUCCUAGGAACAACACACGNAAAAAAUCAAAACCUCAGAAUCCACAAAAGUAUAUUCUUUCUUUUUUUUUUUUUUUUUCUAGGAACAACACACAGUGGUGCAUCUUUAUUCUAUAUCUGGUCACAGCAAAUCUCACACAGCCCACAAAGAUGAAUCCUAGACAGCCUGUUCAAUAAGUGGUGCUGAGAAAACUGGACAGCCACAUGUAAAAGAAUGAAAUUAGAACACUUCCUAAGACCAUACACAAAAAUAAACUCAAGAUGGAUUAAAGACCUAGAUAUAAA
rnacentral:lncRNA from 1 species